CAGCCAUCCUUUAAAGAAAGCGUAACAGCUCACUGGUCUAAUUAAGAGAUCCUGCACCGAAAAUGUAACGGGGCUCAAAUCAUUUACCGAAGCUUUGACAAUUACUUUUAGUAAUUGGGUAGCGGAGCGUUCUGUAAGCCUGCGAAGGUGAUGCGUAAGCAUUGCUGGAGGUAUCAGAAGUGCGAAUGCUGACAUGAGUAACGAUAAGAAAUGUGAAAGACAUUUCCGCCGAAAUCCUAAGGUUUCCUGCGUAAAGCUAAUCUGCGCAGGGUUAGUCGGCCCCUAAGGCGAGGGCGAAAGCCGUAGUCGAUGGGAAGCAGGUUAAUAUUCCUACACCAGCUGGUAGUGACGGAUGAAGUAAAUUGUGAGUUCUUACUGGAUUGAACUUGCUGUGAAUUUGUCCCUGGAAAUAGCUCCAGCAUAAGACCGUACCAAAACCGACACAGGUAGGAGGGUAGAGUAUACCAAGGCGCUUGAGAGAACUAUGUUGAAGGAACUCGGCAAAUUACACUUGUAACUUCGGGAUAAAAGUGACCUGCUAUUGGGCAACCAGUAGGAGGUGGCACAGAAGAGGGGGUAGCGACUGUUUACUAAAAACAUAGCACUAUGCAAAGUCGAAAGACGACGUAUAUGGUGUGACGCCUGCCCGGUGCCGGAAGGUUAAUAGGAGGGGUGCAAGCCCUGAAUUGAAGCCCCGGUGAACGGCGGCCGUAACUAUAACGGUCCUAAGGUAGCGAAAUUCCUUGUCGGGUAAGUUCCGACCUGCACGAAUGGCGUAACGAUUUCCCCACUGUCUCCAACAUAGACUCAGUGAAAUUGAAUUCUCGGUUAAGAUGCCGAGUAACCGUGGUUAGACGGAAAGACCCCGUGCACCUUUACUGCAGCUUUGUAUUGGUAUUAGGGAACAGAUGUGUAGCAUAGGUGGGAGACUUUGAAGGAGUGGCGCUAGCCAUUCUGGAGUCACUAGUGAAAUACCACUCUUCUGUUCCUUGAUGCCUAACCAUACACCGUUAUCCGGUGUUGGGACCAUGCAUGGUGGGCAGUUUGACUGGGGCGGUCGCCUCCCAAAGAGUAACGGAG
rnacentral:rRNA from 1 species